rnacentral:misc_RNA from 1 species
ACCUACUCCCUCAUCUCCAAACGUUCAUGACCCAAUGACAUGGCCUACCAUAGACUGGUGGAGCUCUGCCUGUACGGUUGACAGUGGUCACUGGCUAUCCAGAAUUUGAGUAAGGGUUAUCGCAGUGACAAGAUUACGCAAAGAAUCGGUUUUGUCUGACUUUGCAAGAAACGGCUCUACCUAUCAAAGAUCAGCAUGGUAGAUGUUGUGUUCCUAUGCAUUGGUUGUGUUGUCGUCCUUUGUGUCAUACAACUACUUCGACUGAUCACUGCUGACUGUGACCUGGUGCUACAAUGGGCAUCAAAAUUUGGAAAAUCUCCAAAGCGCCUGAGAGGUAAAGUGGUGUGGGUGACUGGGGCCUCCAGCGGUAUCGGGGAGUCCCUCGUUUACGAGCUGGCAUCUGUUGGAUGUCGUCUGGUGCUGUCUGCCCGUCGAGAAGAGGAGUUGAACAGAGUAAAGAAGCAAUGUCUGACAUGUGGCCCGCUUCAAGACAAUGACAUCAUGGUGGUGCCAUUGGACAUGGUCAAGCAACAUGAACAUGCAGACGCUGUCAAGAAAGUCCUCCAGCAUUUUAAACAGAUAGACAUUCUGGUGAACAACGCUGGCCGCUCACAGAGAGCUGAAUGGGUCAAAACAUCCGUUGUCGUUGAUCGUGAGAUGCUGGAAACCAAUGUCCUGGGACCCUUAUCACUGACUAAAGCUGUCCUUCCCGACAUGAUAGCUCGGAGAGACGGUCACAUUGUGGUCAUGAGUAGUGUUGCUGGGAAAGUAGGGGGGCUGUUGCCAGGAUCGUACACAGGGACUAAGUAUGCACUCCACGGCUGGUUUGAACGUUUGCGGAUUGAGCAGUAUUCCGACAACAUCAACGUGACGAUGGUCUGUCCUGGGCCAGUCUAUUCCAACCUACUAGCUAUUGCCAUGACUGAGGAGAAAGGAAAGGUCGUGGGAGGUGAGAUGGAUGCAGGAGAGAAGAGGAUGGCGACGUCCCGGUGUGCUAGUCUCACAGCAGUCGCCAUCGCCAAUCAACUGGAUGAGGUGUGGAUUUCGUUUCAUCCGGUACUGGCCUAUACUUAUGUGUAUCAGUACCUGCCUUCCAUCGCAAGAAGCCAGGCCUGUAAAAGGGGUAUAUUCCAAUUCAGGAAGAGCAGAGAGGGUCAGUAGAGCUACCUGCGAUGCCAGCUCGACAUUUGACAGGAUAGUCCACUGACCACACAUCUGUGAAGUUAAACCCUGAAACCAUUCCAGUGAAAUGGCCAAGAUUUCUGAAUGACUGUUAAAGAGACAAUGUCCCUAUUUAUAGCUCUGUUUCUGAAUCCAGUGGUGUGGUACCCAUCUACUGUGGAAUGAGCAGCGACAUACUUUGACCAAAGUCUCUGCUGAGAAGCUGUCAGACUGCUGUGUAUUAUAUGCAACUGUAAAAGAAAUAAAACAAAUUGAAAAUUUAUAGAAAA